rnacentral:ncRNA from 2 species
CUCAAACUUUAGGGGUGCCUUUACGGGCUGAGAUCAUACCCUCAAAACCUGAUGCAGAUAAUGCCGCCGAAGGAAAAAGAAUUUUCUCUUGC